CUUUGUUACUAUAAAUAGUAUACUUACAUGUUGUAAACAGAUUAUCUAUCAUUUUACAUGUAAAUAUUGCUUUGCACUAAACUAACCAGGUUGCAAAAAAACAUAUAUGAUGUUUUUUCAAAUUCGAAUUUUAAAAAAAUGCUCAAUAUUAGUAGCAAUUGUGAUAGAAGACCGUCCGUGAAAGGUGACACAACCGCAAGACAAGUUAUUACAUAAUAUGUUAUGUUUUUAACAUAUUGUAUUUUGUAAAAUGUGUGCGUAUAAAAGCUGAAAACAUGUAUUACUGUUUCAAUCAGUUAUCUGCUCGAGAUAGUAUAAUACUUAAUAGGUAAGUACAAUAUAAAUACGUUAAUAAUGCAUUGCAAUUAUUUGGAAUCUUAUACACUGAAGUAGCAAUUAACGUUGUUUUUCUUAAAAAAAAUAAACGAUUUGGAAUUUAACAUGCUUUACUUAAAAUGUGCUACAUAACAUUCAUUUAUUGUUAGUUUAAUAGUAAGUUUGAAGUAACCAUGGUAAAAUUAUAACAAUUGUCAUAACGAUUGAUCAGAUUUAAACAUGGUUAUAUUUGCAUGAUUUGGUCACCGUUUUUUUCAAACAAUAGCCAUUUUAUAGAAAUACCGCUGUCGUUGCCGUACAUUUUUCCCAGUGAACUUGACAAAUAUGAUACUUCCGAAACUGUAAGGCCAUAUUUAUACACAAUUGUAAUGCUGUAAACUAUGACGACUUUAUUCAUAUCAAGGUAUUGUUAUCUAUUUCAAAAACACAGAUGUAUGAUUACAACUACAGAUAUGAUAUACCGUACUAAUGACAAUGCCAUUGAUAUAUAUUUGUACCUCCCAUUUUCAGUUAUAACAUAGCUUUCUAAGGUUGUUCGAUUUGUUCUAACUAUGUCGAAAAGUUCACUCAUUUACUCGGAGUUUAUUAUUUUUGUGAUUUUACUUUUUACAAGGAAAUGCUUUAAACCUAUUUCCUAUGUUUAAAAAAAUGAAUGAAACCGAUUCACAUAGGAAAGUCCUGUUGACAUUGUUUACAUUUCUAUCUUAGAAUAGGUUGAUGAAAAACAUCAUUGACAUUCAUGUGCGUCUUUCUUUAUUAAGAUUUAUUCACUAUUUAUUUUAAAUGACGAUGUUAAUGUUGGUAUUUACAGCGAUUUACGAUCGUCCUUUUUAUACCAUAAAAGUAUUCAUUACCUACUAAUGUUCGUUUUCCGGAAGCAUGAAAUAUAAUGAACUUUUUUUUGUAGCCUCAAGUAAGAAGUAAAACAGACAAUGAAGGUUUCCUUUUUUUUAAUCGUUUCUCUGUUGUUGAUGUCUGUUGGAGGUAAAUAAACCUAUAAGAUGUGUUUACAUAUUGAUGUUUUAAUUCGCAUGUAUACGUACAUUGUAGUUGAAGGAAAAACAUAUUGAUAAAUCGAUCAUAGACAAUUAUAAAAUAUUUCAAUGGCCGUAAGAAUAAUAAUUUGAUGCACAGUGUUUAUAGUUCUUUCCAAAAAUAUACCUUUACAUAACACUGAAUUUAUCUGAUAAAUAAAGUGGAUUGUUGUAUUCUUUUGCAAUUUAAAGAUUUCGAAAAAUAUAUUACAUGUUCAAGAUACUACAUUAAAGCAGUCUCUACACAUUAUUAAUUGACUAGAUAUUAGUGAUAUGUUUGUCGUUUGGUUACCAUCACUUCUUACAUGUUUUUCUCAUUAAUUUCCAGUCAACAUGGCAAAUGCGGAAAUGCUGAAAGACAAUGGACUUCGUCAGAAGUAUGUUGAUUUAAACAGUAUGCCAUAUAGACCUCUUAAAACUAAUUGCGAGUUCUUGAAAAUAGACUAGAGACAUCAUAAAUUUUUUAACCAAUUAUUUGAUCUUACAAUUAUUCCUAUGAAACACCUUACUCGUGAUGCACAAUUGUUUUCCGCUGAAAAAAAAAACAGAAAUUCUUUUUGCCAAAUUUCAUUCAGUACAUUAAGGUCCUAACAACAAGUACAUGAAUUUAAUGUUUUGCGGUUUGACGUUUUUUAUCAUAUUUUAUCGUUUGCAUUUGAGUCCGAAAUAAAGUAUACACAGUAAAAUAAGUUGCUAAAUUGUUAGUAGUGUUAAUCAAAAUAUAUACCUCUAAUUGUAUAGUUUUAUUGUUGAUAUUCACCCCAUAUGUAUCAAGUGUUAAAUUAGAUUUAUUCAUAUUACAGAACUUUCUUGGUAUUCCUUAUUGCGAAGUGUUAAAUUAGAUUUAUUUAUAUUACAGAACUUUCUUGGUACUCCUUAUUGGAAAGAUUUUAUUUACACAGAAGUAGCAUACCUAAAACGACAAAGUUAUUUUUUCUUUACCUGUAUAUAUUAUGAAAUCGUCUUUUUUUCAAAAGUGAUGAUUUUCUAAGGGUUGUUAAAUAUUUCGCAGUUGUGUCUUGCCAUGGCUUUGUUUGAACUUGUUUGUUUGCUUUCGGCCUUGAAUGUUUGUCAUUUAUAUUUUAUGAACUAUGUAUUUGCAUUCAGGUAUCGCAGAUCAAAUUUAUUCGUUCUUAGUGUGUUAAUUUACGUUUUUUGAUUGAGUUAAGCCUUCCAAUUAAUAUUUUAUCGUGUGAUUUUCUAUGUUGUGAUGUUAUACUAUUGUUUCAGAAAAAGGAAGAAGGUUUGGUACCAUUAAAACGUUUAAUCCCGUUUCAAAUGUUUGCACCUGUCCUAAGUCAGGAAUCUGAUGUACAGUAGCUGUCGUUUGUUUAUGUAAUUUUUACAUGUUUCUCGUUUCUCGUUUUUUUUAAUAUAGAUUAGAUGUUGGUUUUCCCGUUUGAACGGUUUUACACUAUGUCUUGUAAUUUUGUGGCCCUUUAUAGCUUGUUAUUCGGUGUGAGUCAAUGCUCUGUGUUGAAGGCCGUACAUUGACCUAUAAUUUUUUUUAAGACAUACAACUAGAUAUCAUAAACAUACUAUGUAUACAAAGGCCAGCGUCUGAGCUUGAUUUCCUAUAUGAUAUAAAAACUAAACUGACAAAAUAAGGUCAUUUAUUCAAAAUGAUAAAAUUCAAAAAAUACAUUUUGAAAAUAAAAAAAACCAAAACAUUUGACAUACAAGAUCAUAUUUAAUAUGAAAUAAUACUACAUAAUAAAUAAAAAAUUACAUCAACUGAUAUUAUAUCAAUUAAACAAAUGACAAAGAAUAGCAAAGGUGGGGAGAAAAAUCUGCCCCAUAAAUAAACACUUCAAAAGAUAACAUUAAGGGAGGUAUGUGGGUGGGAAUUGUCAACAAAUUCUUGGACAAAAAUCACAAGUUAACACAUCAAAUGCUGAUGAUAAAAGGAAGUGACCACAAUGCACUUACACGUGAACUCGUGCUGACACGCAAGAUCAUUGACCAAUAAGAAAGAUGAAAUCCAAUCAUGCAUUGGUCAGAAGUGAAAUUUCUCUGCACGUGAAAACAUGUUAUCUAAUUUCAACUAUUCAUUGUUUAAUCAAUUAAAACACUCUGACCCUUUGACUAGACUAGAGACAUCAUAAAUUUACAGUAUAAAUAGCCCACUCUGUAUCCAAGUCUUAGUAAUAACCAAUUAAAACAGAAGUAUUUUCUCUGAUGCCUUACAUAAUUUUAUUCAGCUUAAUUUUCAAUUAGCAAAUAAAAUUGGUUACUUUUAUAAAUUGUUAUUUGGAUGGGGAGUUGUCUUAAUGGCACUCAUACCACAUCUUUCUAUAUCUAUAUGUGAAGAACGAAUUAUCUCUUGAACAUUUAUAGGUAUAAGACAUUGCUGUUAGUACUUGAGUUUAUAAACACGAUGAAUUGCUAUAACUACUGAGGCAAUGUAUAUACCUACAGGAAGAAAUUGUUAUUAUCUGUACAUUCAGAUAUACAUCGUUCUAUACAAUGAACGAUAUAUAUUACUGUCACAAAACUAUGUAAAUUGGGUAGUCAUUUCAAGUUUUUCUGUUCAGGUUAGUAAAGAGAAGUCCGGGAUGCGGUAGAAGAAGCUGUCCUUGCUGUCCUGGUUACACAUGCGUUAGUGGACGCUGUUAUGGACAUUGAUACUUAUCUAACAACACUGACGCAACAUACUCAGAUAACAGUUGCUACUUAAAAUCAAAAUUACUGACCAAAUAAAAACCAAAGAUAUUUUAC
rnacentral:lncRNA from 1 species